UGUGUCGCCUUGAAAAGGUGACAUAUAGGGGUUACUUUUGUCGGCGGUGUCGUUGGCGUCUGUGUCGGCGUCGUUGUCGGCGUCCCCUAAAGCUUGUCCGGAGCAUAACUCAGUCACUAUAAGUCUGAUUGACUUCAAACUUGGUAUGCAUGCUUCUUUCAAUAACCCGAAGUGCAGUGCACAAGGACCGGUACUCUGCAGUUUCUUAUUUUUUGAGUUAUUGCCCUUUGUUAAUUUUCAUACUUUAAUUUUGUCCGGGCCAUUUCUCUUCAACUAAAAAAGCUAUGGACCUGAAACUUUCAUAGGAUGAUAGAUCUCAUUAAGAAGAAAUGCAGUGCACAAGAACCAGUACUCUGCACUUUCCUAAUUUUUGAGUUAUUGCCCUUUGUUAAUUUUCAUACUUUAUUUUUGUCCGAGCCAUUUCUCCUAAUGUAUAAAAGCCAUGGACUUGAAACUUCAUAGGAUGAUAGGUCUCAUUAAGAAGAAGUGCAGUGCACAAGAAUUGGUACUCUGCAUUUCUUAUUUUUUGAGUUAUUGCCCUUUGUUUAUUUUCAUACUUUAAUUUUGUCCGGGCCAUUUCUCCUUAAGUAUAAAAGCUAUGGACUUGAAACUUCAUAGGAUGAUAGAUCUCAUUAUUAAGAAGUGCAGUGCACAAGAAUCGGUACUCUGCAUUUCUUAAUUUUUGAGUUAUGGCCCUUUGUUAAUUUUCAUACUUAAUUUUUGUCCAGGCCAUUUCUCCGAAAGCAGGCUUUCAAGCGGGCCCUACUUUUCCUUCUUUUCCUACUUUUCCCUACUUUUUUUGUUUGACCCCUACUUUUCCCUACUUUUUACUUGAAAUGCCCUACUAUCCCUACUUUUUUUUAAGAAAAAAGCUCGAGGAUAAUUGAUAAAAAAAUCCAGUAUAAGCAGUAGAUUGAUUUUGAUAUAAUCUUUAUCUCAAAUUUAAUAAGAACCAGAUGCAAGUUUAAUUGUAGGAAAAAGUUGAUGGAAGUAGGUCAUCAGUGGUGCAAGAGGGGUUCCACGAUGAGGAUGGUUUUAGCUGACAUGGCAGAAUCAGCGACUUUAGGUUGAUGUCCAGUUUCAUCCCGUUGUGGAAUCCCUAUUGAGACACUGCUGACUGGUUUCCUAAAUGAAGAAAAUGCCAUGGAUAUUAGUUGAUAAGGGUCUGUAUUUGUUUUUGCAUCAACUUUGGAAAAAAGGU